GGUAAGAUGGCUGAGGAAUAAGUAGUAAAUUGUAAAUUUAUUAAGGAGAUUAAGUCUCUUUUACCA
rnacentral:tRNA from 1 species